rnacentral:lncRNA from 10 species
AUUACAGGAAUAAGAGGACUAGGACAUAGAUUUUCAGGUUGGCCGACUCGUGUAUGUGAGACCUGCUUGGGCUCCAGCUGCGGUUAAACAUGUCUGUGGGACCAGUAGCCUGACUUUCCAAUCAGAGCUUUGUUGCUGUGACUGCUGCUGUGGAGAUUCAAGCCACACACAAACCAGCUGAAGAGAAGGAAAUUUAUCUUAAGCUUG